GACGAACGCUGGCGGCGUGCUUAACACAUGCAAGUCGAACGAAAAUACCAAGCUUGCUUGGUUGAUUAGUGGCGAACGGGUGAGUAACACGUGAGUAACCUGCCCCUUACUUUCCUGGAUAACUGCUCGAAAGGGUAGCUAAUACGGGAUAUUCUGACUAGCCUGCAUGGGUUGGUUUGGAAAGGUUUUUUCUGGUAAGGGAUGGGCUCGCGGCCUAUCAGCUUGUUGGUGGGGUGAUGGCCUACCAAGGCUUUGACGGGUAGCCGGCCUGAGAGGGUGGACGGUCACACUGGGACUGAGAUACGGCCCAGACUCCUACGGGAGGCAGCAGUGGGGAAUAUUGCACAAUGGGCGCAAGCCUGAUGCAGCGACGCCGCGUGAGGGAUGAAGGCCUUCGGGUUGUAAACCUCUUUCGUCAGGGAACAAGGCACUGCUUUUUUGGUGGUGUUGAGGGUACCUGGAUAAGAAGCGCCGGCUAACUACGUGCCAGCAGCCGCGGUAAUACGUAGGGCGCAAGCGUUGUCCGGAAUUAUUGGGCGUAAAGAGCUCGUAGGCGGCUGGUCGCGUCUGUCGUGAAAACUUCUGGCUCAACCGGGGGCUUGCGGUGGGUACGGGCCGGCUAGAGUGCGGUAGGGGUAACUGGAACUCCUGGUGUAGCGGUGGAAUGCGCAGAUAUCAGGAAGAACACCGAUGGCGAAGGCAGGUUACUGGGCCGUUACUGACGCUGAGGAGCGAAAGCGUGGGGAGCGAACAGG
rnacentral:rRNA from 1 species